AUGAGAAGAUGGACAUAGAGAAUGAAAGACACAGAGGGGGGCAAUCCAAUAAAAGGAGUUUUUGUGAGACUGCGUAGUUGGCUCAGACAUCCUUAGCAUUAGUCCAACCUUUCUUUUGAUUUUAAUGUAAGCUUCAUGUUUUAGCCACAUUUACACACAUUCUUUAGUAUUUAGUAUUACGUUUAUGAUUUUCCCUUUUUUACUGUGG